rnacentral:rRNA from 1 species
GACGAACGCUGGCGGCGUGCCUAACACAUGCAAGUCGAGCGGUAAGGCCCUUUCGGGGGUACACGAGCGGCGAACGGGUGAGUAACACGUGGGUGACCUGCCCUCAGCUCUGGGAUAAGCCUGGGAAACCGGGUCUAAUACCGGAUAUGACCUCACUGACGCAUGUUGUGGGGUGGAAAGCCUUGUGCGGCUGAGGAUGGGCCCGCGGCCUAUCAGCUUGUUGGUGGGGUGAUGGCCUACCAA